CACAGUCUGGAGUUACACAGACAACCCCAACUUCAACACAGGUUCACCUGGCCGUGCUGCUGCUCCAGUUCCAACUGUUCUGCCUGCAGCUAUGGAACCCUGACCUGUUCACCGGACGUGCUACCUGUCCCAGACCUGUUGUCCCAGACCUGCUGGAACCCUGACCUAUUCACCGGACGUGCUACCUGUCCCAGACCUGCUGUUUUCAACUCUCUAGAGACAGCAGGAGUGGUAGAGAUACUCUCAAAGAUCGGCUAUGAAAAAGCCAACUGACACUUACUCUUGUGUUACUGACUUGUUGCACCCUCGACAACUACUAUGAUUAUUAUUAUUUGACAAUGCUGGUAAUUUAUGAACAUUUGAACAUCUAGGCCAUGUGCUGUUAU
rnacentral:lncRNA from 1 species